rnacentral:rRNA from 1 species
ACCAGUACCGUGAGGGAAAGGUGAAAAGCACCCCGGAAGGGGAGUGAAAUAGAACCUGAAACCGUGUGCUUACAAGUAGUCAGAGCCCGUUAAUGGGUGAUGGCGUGCCUUUUGUAGAAUGAACCGGCGAGUUACGAUUUGAUGCAAGGUUAAGCAGUAAAUGUGGAGCCGUAGCGAAAGCGAGUCUGAAUAGGGCGUUUAGUAUUUGGUCGUAGACCCGAAACCAGGUGAUCUACCCUUGGUCAGGUUGAAGUUCAGGUAACACUGAAUGGAGGACCGAACCGACUUACGUUGAAAAGUGAGCGGAUGAACUGAGGGUAGCGGAGAAAUUCCAAUCGAACCUGGAGAUAGCUGGUUCUCUCCGAAAUAGCUUUAGGGCUAGCCUC